rnacentral:rRNA from 1 species
AGUGAACGCUGGCGGUAGGCCUAACACAUGCAAGUCGAACGGCAGCACAGUAAGAGCUUGCUCUUACGGGUGGCGAGUGGCGGACGGGUGAGGAAUACAUCGGAAUCUACUUUUUCGUGGGGGAUAACGUAGGGAAACUUACGCUAAUACCGCAUACGACCUACGGGUGAAAGCAGGGGAUCUUCGGACCUUGCGCGAUUGAAUGAGCCGAUGUCGGAUUAGCUAGUUGGCGGGGUAAAGGCCCACCAAGGCGACGAUCCGUAGCUGGUCUGAGAGGAUGAUCGGCCACACUGGAACUGGGACACGCUCCAGACGCCUACGGGACGCAGCAGUCGCGAACAUUGGACAAUGGGCGCAAGCCUGAUCCAGCCAUACCGCGUGGGUGAAGAAGGCCUUCGGGUUGUAAAGCCCUUUUGUUGGGAAAGAAAAGCAGCAGGUUAAUACCACGCUGUUCUGACGGUACCCAAAGAAUAAGCACCGGCUAACUUCGUG